UACGUAGGGAGCAAGCGUUGUCCGGAAUCAUUGGGCGUAAAGCGCGCGUAGGCGGCCCUGUAAGUCCGUUGUGAAAGUCAAAGGCUCAACCUUUGAAAGCCGAUGGAUACUGCAGGGCUAGAGUCCGGAAGAGGAGAGUGGAAUUCCCGGUGUAGCGGUGAAAUGCGCAGAUAUCGGGAAGAACACCCGUGGCGAAGGCGGUUCUCUGGGACGGUACUGACGCUGAGACGCGAAAGCGUGGGGAGCGAACAGG
rnacentral:rRNA from 1 species